rnacentral:rRNA from 1 species
AGCAUGUACGCGAGUCAUUGGGACAAACCUAUAGGCGUAAUGAAAGUAAAAGUUCGUCCUUAACCUAGGGAGGAUGGGACGUUCUCACGACCCCGCACUCCCGGGGCGUCUCGUUCUCAUUACGAGAAGAGGCGCACCUAGAGCGUACACGCUGGGACCCGAAAGAUGGUGAACUAUGCCUGGUCAGGACGAAGUCAGGGGAAACCCUGAUGGAGGUCCGUAGCGAUUCUGACGUGCAAAUCGAUCGUCGGAACUGGGUAUAGGGGCGAAAGACUAAUCGAACCAUCUAGUAGCUGGUUCCCUCCGAAGUUUCCCUCAGGAUAGCUGGCGCUCGCUAUAUGCGAGUCUCAUUCGGUAAAGCGAAUGAUUAGAGGCAUUGGGGUCGAAACGGCCUCAACCUAUUCUCAAACUUUAAAUGGGUGAGAACUCCGGCUUGCUUGAAUAUGAAGCCGCGAGGUUUCGGAUCAGAGUGCCAAGUGGGCCACUUUUG